AGGCUGAACCCAGGCCCGAGGAGCCCCCUACCUACCCUUCAGCCCCUGCCUCUGACCCUCUCAGAGAAGGCAGUGGCAAGGAUAUGCCUAAGGUGCAGGGGUUGCUAGAGAAUGGAGACAGCAUGACCAGUCCUGAGAAGGUAGCCCCGGGGGAGGGCUCAGACCUGGAGCUGCUGUCCUCGCUGUUGCCACAGUUGACUGGCCCUGUGUUGGAGCUGCCUGAGGCAACCCGGGCCCCCCUAGAGGAGCUCAUG